rnacentral:lncRNA from 1 species
GCGGACGGGAGCCCCGGGCGCGCCGGGGCACCUGCCGCGCUGCCUCCCGCAGCCUGCUGGGAGCAGGGCCCUCGGGAUCGGCAGCUUCAGCGAUUAAAAACAGCUCUCCGGGACAAGGAAUAAUCCCCCAGACCCUUUUCCACAAAGGCUGCAAAGCCCCGAAACGCCCGAGAGCGAGAGGGGCGCGAAGCAGGUCUGCGCGGCCCGGGCAAGGGGCCGUUUCCCCUGUCCAACGUGCAAAUACUUGGCGACGACGGCGUGUCUGCGUACUGCCGUAUCCGCCUCCCUCUCCGCGCUCGUCUUUAAGGCAACGAGAAGCAGCACGUUACCGGGAAAACACAAGAAUUAUCACGCUGAAUGAAAACCGCAAUCCUUGCCAAGACAGGAAUCAGCACCCAGGCACGGAGGCAAGGAAGGCCGUGAAGAAACGCACCCAUGCCUAGGUUCUUGCAGGAGGUGGCAUUUCACCCCACAUCAGGUGCAGCCAUUUGCCAAUAGCCUUUGCUGUAAUACCAUGAAUUUAAGUGCUUUGUAUUGUCAUCCAAUAGAUGGACGCAUGUAUAUAGAUCCGAUGUAUGCGUCCACAGAUACCGCACGUUAUUUGGGCAUAUGUGUGCAUUUGCAAAGCAACGUUCUUUUACCAGCAAGCGCUAAGUUGGAUUCGUACUUGAUUAAAAGGCAGUUAAAGCCUUCCCUUUUCUGGAGAUGUUGCUCACAGAAGUCACUGUGAACAUCCUUUUUUUGGUCACGAAGGCAGUUAACCAUUGACAGUUGGGUUGAGUCCUGCGACUGACCGCAGACAGGGCUUUGAGCAGCCAUCACGCGCUGUAGGAUGAAUUUGAUGCUUUGGUGGACCUGCCCUGAGCCCACUCCACCGUGCUGGAGAGUCCUUGGCAGCAGGCUGAACUGUGUGUUUCCCCCACGUCACCUCUUACCCAAGCGUGCACAGCAGCUCCGCAGAAGUGAUUUUUCCUUCUCUACCUCUCUCUUUGCUUUUUAACAGUUACUUUUUUCUCUUUGCUUUUUUCGUUU